AGCAGUUGUCAGAAACAACCAAAAUUGCAGGUCAGUCAACUGCAAGACUGAUCAAAAUGCAUUGUGAGGAUUUAGGACCGAAGAGAAGAGAUGUCGUCUAGUUUUCGGGCACUCUAAAAUCCAUCAUAUCCACAUCAUAUGGGUGCUGUUGCUUCAUGCUCUUCCUAUUCCUCUUCCUCUUCUUCUUCCUCGUCUCCACUUCCUCCAAAAAAAUAUGAUGUGUUUAUUAGCUUUAGAGGUGAAGACACUCGCUCAAACUUCACCAGCCCUCUUUAUAAAGCCCUGUGUGAUGAAUCAAUCACAACCUUCAUAGAUUACAGCAGGCUUAGCCGAGGCGAUGAGAUUUCUGAUUCAAUCCUCCAAGCAAUUCAGGACUCGAGUGUAUCUGUCGUGGUUUUAUCAGAAAACUUCGCUUUCUCCAAAUGGUGUUUGGAUGAACUCAUGCACAUACUCCGAUGCAGAAAGUACGAAUCACAAAUUGUGAUCCCUGUAUUCUUCAAAGUUGAUCCAUCCGAUGUUCGAAAGCAGAAUGGGCCUUACAAGCAAGCAUUCGCAAAACAUGAGCAGGAUUUCGCGGAAAACCUACACAAGGUGAACGAGUGGAGAAAUGCUCUUUCUGAAAUUGCCAAUUUAGCUGGGUGGGACUCUCGAUCUCACAGGGACGAAUCUGAACUCAUACAAAGCAUUGUUGGGGAUGUCUUGCAAAAAUUGAAUCUCAAGUAUCCAAGUGCGUUAAAAGGUCUGGUUGGAGUUGAUGAAAAUUGUAAGAGAAUUGAAAUGUUACUAGAAAAAACCCCUGUAAUUGGAAUUUGGGGGAUGGGAGGCGUUGGCAAGACAACUAUAGCUAAGGCUAUAUUUGCCAAAAACUUUUCCCAAUAUGAUAGUUAUUGCUUCUUGGAAAAUUUCACUGAACAGUCAGAAAAGCAUGGACUGCCAUACCUCCGUGAUAAACUUCUCUCUGAGUUACUUCAUGAUAACACAUCUAAAGUUGUAGUAUCCACAUUUAAUAUGAGAAGGCUUCGGAAUAAAAAAGUUUUGAUUGUGCUUGAUGAUGUGAGCUGUUCUAGUCAAUUAGAAUUUUUGGCUCAAGAAUGUAACUGCUUGGGACCAAACAGCAGAGUCAUCAUAACUACAAGGGAUCAACGUUUGCUUAUUGGACAUGGUGCUGAAAUAUAUGAAGCCAGAGCUUUGAAUGAUGAAGAAGCCUUAAAACUUUUCUGCUUUAAAGCUUUCCACAAAGGCCAUCCGGAAAUUGGAUAUGAACAGCUCUCAAAAAGAGCAGUUGUUUAUGCUCAGGGAAUUCCAUUAGCCUUGACAGUGUUGGGUUCAUUUCUUCAUUCUCAAAGUAAGGCGGAAUGGGAUAGUGAAUUGAAAAAACUGGAAAAGACUCCCCAUGUUGAUAUUCAGAAGGUGUUGAUCUUGAGCUAUAAUGGUUUGGAUCAUGAACAAAGAGAAAUAUUUUUGGAUAUUGCUUGCUUUUUGAAGGAUGAAAUUACAGAAAAUGUAAUUGUACUAUUAGAUAGCUAUGGCUUCCACGGAAGAAGUGGCUUGAGAAUAUUGGCUGUUAAGGCUCUUAUAACUAUUGGAUAUACAGUCACCAUGCAUGAUUUGAUACAAAUGAUGGGUCGGGAGAUUAUCUAUCAAGAGCAUAUUAAAGAACCUGAAAGACGUAGUCGAUUAUGGGAUCCUGAUGAAAUUCAUGAUGUAUUGAAAAAUAAUCGGGGAACGGAGGCCAUUGAAGGAAUCACGUUAGAUUUGUCUAAAAUUGGAAUACUAGACUUAAAUGCCAAUGCAUUCAAAAAAAUGACUAAUUUAAGAUAUCUCAAAUUUUUUUGGGCAAUGGAGCAGAGACAUGUGAACCUUCCUAUGGGCCUCGAGUCAUUUUCUGAAAAGUUAAGGUUCUUUCAUUGGGAUCAAUAUCCCUCUAAGUCUCUCCCAUCAGGCCUUUGUCCUCAGAAACUCGUAGAACUUAACAUACGAGGUAGUAGAGUUGAAAAGCUUUGGGAUGGAGUGCAGGAUCUUGUGAGUCUAAAGACAAUGGAUUUGUCAAGUUCCAAAGAAUUGAUUGAAUUGCCUGAUUUCUCUAUGGCACAAAAUCUUGAAAGAGUAAACCUCUCAUUUUGUGAAAGUUUACAAAGUGUUCAUCACACUAUCCUAUCUCUCAACUCACUUGUUGAUCUAGAUCUAUCAUGUUGCCGGAAACUAGAGAGUGUUGAAAGUGAAACACACUUAAAAUCUCUCGUUGACCUUGAAGUUGAUUACUGUGAUAGCCUCAAGAAAUUUUGUUUGUCAUCAGAAAAAAUGACUAGAUUAAAUUUAAGGGGGAGUGAAAUCGAAAUACUACAGUUGCCAGUUGGGCGUUUCACAGAACUUAGAGAGCCUGUUCUUGAUGGUUCAAGACUGAGAAGCCUUCCAAUAAAUGAGUUAUGUUGUUUGACCUCUCUUGAGAAAUUUGAACUUAAUGAUUUCAGUCAAGUGAUUCGCAAAAUGGAGCUGCACACCCUAUUUGAUGCCUGGCAUUGCUUAACAGAACUACAUUUGGAUGGAUGUUGUAAAUUGUCAGAAAUUCCUGACAAUAUCGGUGCCUUAUGUUACUUAAGCAUGCUAAGUUUGAAUGGAUGUAGUAACUUGUCAGAAAUCCCUGACAAUAUCAGUGCCUUAACAGAAUUAGUAUCUUUGUCGCUGAAAGAAACUAGUGUGGAGAUUUUGCCGGCUUUCAUCGAGCAUCUCUUAAACCUGAAAUUCAUUUACUUGAGGAAUUGUACUAGGCUUAGUUCUAUACUUGGACUUCCUCCUGUCCUCAAAGUAUUAGAUGUCUCAGAAUGCACUUCCUUGGAGACUGUUUUUUCCCCCUCACGGUUUUCACUGGAAUUCCUGGCAGACUGUAGCUUUGAAUUCCAAAAUUGUGCAAAGUUGGAUGAGCUUUCCCUUGACUUUAUCAGGGAAUUGACCCAUAUCUCAAUAAUUUUAGCUUGUGAGGAUGACAAUUUAUAUGGAGUUAAAUGUUGUUACCCAGGAAGUGGAGUUCCAAAACGCAUUGGAUAUAAACAGAUGACAAAGGCUUCCAAUACUAUUGAAUUUACUUGUAAUCUUCACCAACUGCAUGGCUUCCUGUUUUGUUGUGUUGUUCCUCGUUUCACCUCUAAGGAAUUAAUCAUUCACUGCAAUUACUCUGUUGAUGAUAACCACAGAUUCUACACUAUCUAUGAUAUACUUCCUUUGGAGGACUUGAAUUCUGAUAAUGUUUUUCUAUGGUAUGAGAAAUAUGGCUUAAAUGAUGCUCCAAGGAGUUAUCAUGGGAAGAUUGCAUGUGAAUUCUCUGUUCCAUAUUGGAAUGGUUAUGAGACUGUCGAUUCUGAUGUCUCCAUUAAAGCAUGUGGAGUACACCCAUUAUAUGGUUCAGAGGGAAGCAGAUAUUGAUGUUGAAGAAUAAUGACUUCUUCCAGCAAAGAAAUCUCUCAGCCUUUGAUGUCUCAAUCUUGUCCCCAGCGAAGAAAUACAGUUUCUCUUAUAUCUUUACAGGGGCCCUAUGUGACUGGAAAUUGAAGAGAUACUGAAUGGAUUAAUAGGUUCAUGUUUUAAUUUAAUGUGGGCAAUGAAUAAAAUCUGAUGUCCUCUAAGAAAAAUAUCUACUCUUUCUCUUGAACAAAAGGGUUGGUUCUCAAAAUUAGAUUAUGAUUUUUUCCCCUUUGAAGUGCUGCCAUGAGUGUAUUUCUUCUCAAAGAAAUCUUGUACUAAAUAUUGUCUUUAUAUGUAGAUAGUGACAUUUUAUAGUUUGUGCAAAUGUUUGUUAUGGUCGUCUUCCAUUCACUAAACUUUGUAAUGAAGUUGAACUUAGUGAUGAUGAUGCAAUUAUAAUCCGUCACCCCCGGCGCCUCACCACAGCCCUCAUUACUAUUCAAUUUGCUCAUUCUUUUCACCAGUUAUUGGAUUUUAUUUCUUCCACCAUCCUACAUUGACUGUAAUUAUUAAUUUGAAGAUGAUGAGGG